GACGAACGCUGGCGGCGUGCCUAAUAAAUGCAAGUCGAGCGAAGCGGCGGAUGGGUGAGUAACGCGUGGGUAACCUGCCCUUAAGACUGGGAUACAAUUUAGAAACAAAUGCUAAUACCGGAUACUGAAGGAUGGCCCUGCGAUGCAUUAGCUAGGUGGUAAGGUAACGGCGUACAAAGGCGAUGAUGCAGAGCCGAUUUUAUAGACUGAUCGGCCACAUUGGGACUGAGACACGGCCCAAACUCCUACGGGAGGCAGCAGUAGGGAAUCUUCCACAAUGGACGAAAGUCUGAUGGAGCAACGCCGCGUGAGUGAAGAAGGUUUUCGGAUCGUAAAGCUCUGUUGUUGGUGAAGCGGUAAUCAACCAGAAAGGCACGGCUAACUACGUGCCAGCAGCCGCGGUAAUAC
rnacentral:rRNA from 1 species